rnacentral:misc_RNA from 1 species
AGGUGUCCGCUGCGAAAUGGGAUGCCUAUGCCUUUUCUCCCCCCUCCACCCAUCGUUGUCCAACGAUGGGUGGCCUUGGCAUAGGCACAUGGUCGUCGGGUUCGGUGGUCGGUCCGGCGGUCUCCGACCGUCCACCGACCGUCGGUCCGGCGACCAUGGUCCGGUCGGAAAAUUUUUUAAAACUCGCUUUUGUUGGAAAUUUUUAAAACUCGGUUCGGUCGGAAAAUUUUAAAACUCGGUCUGGUGGGCUAGUAGUGCUUUGUUGGCUUCUUACGAGGGGAGAGGGACGGUUCAUCUCGGAUUUUGAUUUUUCCAACGUAUUCAAAGGCCCGGCACCAUAUGACCUGGGCUUCGGCCAAGUGGACUUGUGCACGGAGAAUUACUGCGGUCGGUCGAGAUCUGAGUUUUUAACCUCUCGGGGGAAAGCCGCUCUGUGUCUACUUUCUCAUUUGGCCUGUCCCGUCGGAAAAUUUUUAAACUCGGUCUGGUGGGCAAGUAGUGCUGUGUUUGUCUGUUUCGAGAGGAGAGGGCCGGAUUAUCUCGGAUUCUGAUUUUUCCAACGUAUUCGACGAUGGGCGAUCGAUCUUCCAUGGCUUCGGCUUUUGGAUGACCGUGAUCACUGAGAAUACUGCGGUUGGGUCAAGGUUUGAGUUUUAACCUCUCGAGGCAGUGCAACGCUGUCUUUACUUUCUCAUUUGGCCUGUCCCGUCGGGAAUUUUUAAAACUCGGUCUGGUGGGCUAGUAGUGCUUUGUUGGCUUCUUACGAGGGGAGAGGGACGGUUCAUCUCGGAUUUUGAUUUUUCCAACGUAUUCAAAGGCCCGGCACCAUAUGACCUGGGCUUCGGCCAAGUGGACUUGUGCACGGAGAAUUACUGCGGUMKGUCCAUAUCAAAACAUUCCGAAAAAAUGCGGAAGAACUAGCAUGCUUAGGCUUGUGCUAACUUGAUGCAUCAUAAGGUUUGUUGCGGUGGGUUGGGCGUAAUGGAGAGUCGUCGGUUUUUUAAAAGCUUUUCCCUGCCCCUCAAAGGUUUUUGUCCCGUCGAAAAUUUUUAAACAGAUUAUUCGUUAUGCUCCAUAUCAAAACAUUCCGAAAAAAUGCGGAAGAACUAGCAUGCUUAGGCUUGUGCUAACUUGAUGCAUCAUAAGGUUUGUUGCGGUGGGUUGGGCGUAACGGAGAGUCGUCGGUUUUUUCAAAGAUUUUCCUUGCCCCUCAAAGGUUUUUGUCCCUCGGAUUGUGUGUUUCUUCACGUGAAGCGGUGUUGGUGUGGUCUUGCUUGACGUUUCCGCAUGCUCAGCGGUUCUAGUAAUCGUUGGGUUGUGGUUCGUUUGGUUGGGUCGUCAUCAAACGUACGCAACUCAUGUGUGAGUGGUGGUUGGAUGGAAUGGGCCUGCAAGCUCCUUGCUCAGCGCAACGAAUUGUGAGGUCUCCGUCCUUUUCAUAGCCUUCCCCAAGCAUGGUCAUUUGCCUUGUGGGUAAGAACGGUAUCCUGUGUUUUCUACCAAUUGAAUGGAAUUCGAUUGUUUUCGUUUCUCUAUUCGCUCGGUUCCUUUAGGGGUGUUGGGUGGACGAUAGGCUGACCUCGUGUUCCAGGUACAUCUCGCAUUUUUGUGUGGUCACCAUGGCCCAUGGGGUUACGCUUGUUCUCUUGGAUCCGGAUCGUUAGUUGUGGGCGAGGGGUUACGACCUCCAUUCGUCCAAGCUAUUAUGCAUCUGUCAAUCGACACGAACGACUGCUGCACUCGUCUUGGCUUGUACGGUCGAACGGCCGUACGAUGUCCAUGCGAGUGUCGGUGUCGUGAAGGAAUGC